AAGUCGUAACAAGGUAACCGUAGGUGAACCUGCGGUUGGAUCAUUAAUAAUUCAAGAGGUACUUUUACUGUAUCUUUUUGGCUUGCACCACUUGCCAUUUAUUUGGCAUGAGGGGCUUGCUGAUAAAACACACUGUGCACUGUAAUUGUAUUUUGGGGAAGUUAUCGGCGGCUACAGAAAAUUGGCAACCUGCAUAAUGCGCUGUGUCAUGAAGACCGCUAGCAUGUCUUACGGCUUUCCCUGCCCAAACCAUAAACCCAAACCAACGUAUUUAAACAUCAUAUGACUUAUACUUAUUUUUUAUAAAAUAAUACAACUUUUGACAACGGAUCUCUUGGCUCUC
rnacentral:misc_RNA from 1 species